UUGAAGCCUGCCUUUUAUGGCUAAGCGAGAUGAUGAAAUAGGCAGGCUACCUUGGGGUGGUUGGCCAAUGGGCAGGUGAUUGAACAAGGAAUAUCAACGGGAUCAACACCACCGGGAGACCCGUCGCGAAUGGAGAGUGAGCGAGACCUACAGGGAUCGAGCCCAACACUUCCGCCACAUCGUAAAGACACAUCGUAAAGCGACCGAGCAGUACCAGGCAAGAGCAAGCGCAAGGAAGGUAUGUUGCAAGACAGCGAGACUACUGGAAAAGCCAAAAUGUGGCGCACGAAGAGUUUUCUUUCAUACUCGGGCCUGCCAAGAGAUUGCUGUUGAAG